CUGGACCUCUCGGGGUUACAGCCUUGCUGAAUUAUUCACCCUUGUCUUUUGCGUACUUCUUGUUUCCUUGGUGGGUUCGCCCACCACUAGGACAAACAUAAACCUUUUGUAAUUGCAAUCAGCGUCAGUAACAAAUUAAUAAUUACAACUUUCAACAACGGAUCUCUUGGUUCUGGCAUCGAUGAAGAACGCAGCGAAAUGCGAUAAGUAGUGUGAAUUGCAGAAUUCAGUGAAUCAUCGAAUCUUUGAACGCACAUUGCGCCCUUUGGUAUUCCAAAGGGCAUGCCUGUUCGAGCGUCAUUUGUACCCUCAAGCUUUGCUUGGUGUUGGGCGUCUUGUCUCUAGCUUUGCUGGAGACUCGCCUUAAAGUAAUUGGCAGCCGGCCUACUGGUUUCGGAGCGCAGCACAAGUCGCACUCUCUAUCAGCAAAGGUCUAGCAUCCAUUAAGCCUUUUUUUCAACUUUUGACCUCGGAUCAGGUAGGGAUACCCGCUGAACUUAAGCAUAUCAAAAGC
rnacentral:rRNA from 1 species